UGCUGUUGAAAAACCUCAAAGGUCAGAUGGUUGGAAGUCAUCUGAUUUCCAGGCACAAGCUUAUUUACAGCCAUUUUGUGGUCUUUUUUUCGUCUGCCAAUUUGCUUGAAAUACCUCUUCUUCCUUGAAGUAUUUCCCUGAAACAUUUUAUCCAGGAAGUACAACCUAAUGGGAAGUGGACUGCUAACACGGAUAUGAGAAUGUACAUGACUGUUCUUCUCUGGUUGGUUUGUGGAAAGAUCUCUGGUACUGUAAGCUGUCCUGAUGGCAUCAGGCCCCGAGUGACAACUGAAUUAUUGCUCUCAAAGAGGAAUCAGAAGGAGCACUGACCAAAAUGGCUGGAAGCAAUGGUGUAAAAUUGCAUGGAAUUUGCAUGGAAAGAAUGUACAAACUAAAGCUACAACUUCUCUGUCCUUGGACCUGAGCCAAAGGCCUAGAAGGAUAAAGGAAAAUGUUCCCACUCAAUUUCAACAGCUUCUGGCUUGAGCUUUGAAAAAAAAAAAAAAAAAA